rnacentral:tRNA from 1 species
AGGACUGUAGCUCAGUUGGUAAGAGUGUUUGCUUAGUAUACACAAAGCCCUGGGUUAGACUCCCAGCACUCCAU